GGAAGCCAGGUGUGUGUUGGCCGCCGUCUCUCUCUCUCUCUAUUUUUAAUCGUGGAUUGCUGGAUGUUAUUCUUUUUAUUAUCGUUUUCUUUUUUUUGCCGCUCUGUUCCCGUCGCGUCUGAGGGAAUCAGCUGUGAUUAUUUUUUAUAUAUAUAUGUAAAUUAAUUGGAAUGGUGAAUUCUCUCUCUUUUUUUUUUAAAUAGAUGAGUAUUAAUCACAAGAGCGGACUGUGAGAUGUGCUUGUAAAAAUCUGAAGCCUGGUUUUGUGUUAAGCGUUGAGUGUUAAAGAGCAAGAUUGUUUAGAAGCUGAAAUAUUCACUGCUGACCUGAGGCGUGGAUGGUCUCGAUAGCGACACGAUGGCUUCAAAGAACACGGGCUAAACAGCGACUUACGGACUCCAGGCGCAUGACACUCUGCAUGACGGAGGCUGAUCUCACCGUGCUGAACAUGGUAAGUCAGCGGCUAAGUAAGUAAGUAAGUCGCUCUCUUGCGGCGCUCUGAAUAAACUAGUUUAGGGGACGAUGCCGAAUGUGG